CAAACUAUCAUUGUACCCAUUUAAGUAUAAGAUAAUAUGGAAAUUCAAAUACCACCUGAUGCUAAGUCAACAAACCAAACAAAAUCUUGUGGGCCAACAGGCUUCCAAAAAUUAACACUUCAAAUUAGGCAAACAUACUUCAAUUGUUCUCUACUCUACCUUCACUCAUCAUCAUCUUGAAAUGUUGUCUUCUUCCCUGUGGCGGCUGCAGUCACCCUAGGCUUAUUGGGUGUUGCACGUCCUCUGCCACGAC
rnacentral:misc_RNA from 1 species